CGACAUAGCCGUCUACAGUGACAGACGGGCAGUUUGACGUCACUUUGAAGAUUUCGCCGACUUGUUGAUCCAGUUCAAAGUAAGCAAUAGAACACCAAUUUUCUGGUGCUAAAGAGAAAAACGUUGGCUUGUUGUUAGUGUUAGACGAAACAAAAUUACAAGACGAGUGGUAAACCAUUUUCUUGGAAUAGCUUUAUCAUAUGGGAAGUCAUAUGGGAUAUACUAAAAGAAAGACCGGAAGAAAGAAAGACAAAGAAGUGAAGAGUAAUUCUUCUUCACAGGGAAAUGAUGAGCAGUUGGAACAACUGCUUGGCGAAAGUCUGGUUCACUCUGGCUACUUGUGCUUCCAUAUCCACCCUCUAAGUACACAAAUGGUAAAGGUAACAGGUAACUAAACUAUGUCUGAUUCACAAAACUGUUACAGUAGAACUCAACAACAAGGGAGAGUAAUGUAUAUAAAUUUAUAUAAAUGCUAAUAGUGCCCAGGCCUUUAUUGGGGAUCUUGGAUUGGCCCUUAAUUUUAGGGUGGGCACCCUAACUGAAAUAGAAACCUAUGACUCAUAGGGAAAAAUGCAUUGUCUUUACGUUUGCCAAUUAUUGUAGGUACACAAUGCUUCAGUAUUCCAUUGUGGGGCUAGCGAAUGGGCUAGAGACAGGGGGUUAUUUUAUAUCCUAUUCCUUAGACAAGGAGCUUAUAAAAGACUAAGAAAUCAAGACUUUUGGGGUGGCAAACCUGUUCUUUUAGCUUGCAUUUGCCACUCCAAAAGCCAUGUGACUUCUUAGUACAAGACGUCUUUGCCUAUUCUAGAGGAGGUGUAUGAAGCUGAACAUCUAAAGGUGUGUUUACAGUUAUCUUAAAUUGCAGAUUGUGACUUUAAUAUAAUAAUAUGAUAGCAACGGCUAAAAUUACCUUUUAUAGGUGCUAUACAGACUCUUGUUGAUGUGUAUCAAUGUUAUUUUUCUAAAUUUAUAUCAGCUAGAGCAACAGUUUCACAAUAAAAUGAAGUCCUAUUUAGUUUAAUGGGAAAAAAACCUUCAAAUAUUCCAAAUAUAUAAUUAUUCAAGCCUAAAUAAUAGUUUAAGUUUACAUAUCUGAAAUAAAAAUAUUAUGGGCUGAGCCAGUAGGUGGUACUUGGCAAGCCCUUAGUCAGAGAAAAAAUUGAAUAAAUCUUAACCACUAUCUUGCAGAGGGUUAUCCACUUUGGAAGAGAUUGCCUUUGUCAUGUUAAUAUUAACCAAAGGUAAAGUGAUCUCGCCCUAUGGUAAUUGUUUAUCUAUAUACCAUGUUAUACUUGCAUAGAUUAUACAAAAUAUCUAGCUCAUACUUUUUUAAGGAUAAUUUCUAAAUACAAAAUGUAACUCUCUCUUAGUGAAAUCAUCUUUUUUUAUGAUACAACAAACAUGUGCCUAAGGAAAGUCAUCUUGGAUUGUGCAUAUUGUGGGUACUAUGACCAUGUGGUUAAUUAAUGUCACCCAACCAUCAACCAAUGCAGAAUAAUCAUCUUGGAUUGUGCAUAUUGUGGCUACUAUGACCAUGUGGUUAAUUAAUGUCACCCAACCAUCAACCAAUACAGAAUAAUCAUCUUGGAUUGUGCAUAUUGUGGAUACUAUGACCAUGUGGUUAAGUCUAGAUAAAAACAACGGAUUGGCAAGUUUUAAACAACUAUUUCUAUAAGGAAGAAGAUUUGUGAAAUAAUAAUAAAAGAGCUUUACAUCACACAAGUUGUGGAACAAAAAGGUCAAGCGGUAUAUUUUUUCUUAUGGUAACAAUGCCUAGAACUGUUUGAUCAAAGAAAAGCAAAACUAAAACUAAACUUCAUUUGUAUGGCAAACUAUCACAGGCACAUAUACAUAAAAAAAAGAAUUAUACAUACAUAGACUUUGUUAAAUCCUGGUCAAAAACACUCAGUAACAACACCAAACAAGACUUACAGGUCUGCCUGGUGUGAGCUCAGUACACUUUCAAAUUUUAAACUUAUCCAAAACAACAGCUUUUAUAUGUUGAAAAAAAAACUUGUUAUUUAGAUUAGUUUAUAGUGAAAGCCUUCCUUUUUUUGAAAAAUACUUAAAGUUAUCACAAUGUAGUUAUUACCAAUUAUAUUAGACACUUUUUCUUAAGUUUUUGGCAAAUACCAAAAAAUUAACUAGCAUAAACAAACAGGCAGAAAACUUUAACCACACUAAGUUUAUAUUAACAGCAUGAUUGCCAUAAAAUGAUUAACUUGAUAAAAUGAAAAGCAGUGCUGUUACACUUGCAAUUACUUGAGAUGCUGAGUUGAAGACUCCUUUUUCGUUCUAUUUUUAUCAAAAGUUUAACAAGAGGUGAAAAUGGAACUAUGGUAACCUAAGCCUCAGAUUUGAGAUAGAUAGAUUUGAGAUAGUCGAAAAAGGGUUAAAUUAGAGACCUAGUCAGCAAGUCUGGGGAUGUAACAGCACUUAAGAUAGAAUCAUAGAAAUGGUAAAUUCAAAUGGAAAGGCUUUUAUGGAGUGUCAUACUCUUUAGGUGAUGUAGUGUUGAAUACAUAUCAACUAAGUACAGCACAAAAGGUGAAAAAAAACUUUAGUGGAAAUAUGGGGUCACUAUUAAACCAAAGAGUAAGAUUUGUCAUGGAAACUGAAGUAAAACUAAAUAAAUUAUUGCAAUUACGUUG